UUACGUAUAUAACAAAAGGGUUUCCUAAUCUAUACUUAACUCUUACCAUUUCCUAAACCCUUCAACAUCUGAACCAUGUUGCCAUAAGGCAUGCUCUUCCUUCUGCUCUGGAUUAUCAAUGUGGUUACCUGAUGUAUUGAUGAAUCAUCUCUCAAGACUGUGUUCUCUGGUGGAUGGUUAUGCUUGAUAUGGUCUGCUGAGGGUUCUCGUUGGUUGAUGUUGUCUUUUAUCACUAGAUUUGGUAGCCGGGGGUCUAUCGGAAACAUCCUCUUCACUCCUCGGGGGUAGUGGUAUGGACUGCGUACAUUUUACCCUCUCCAGACCCCACUAUGUGGGAAUAUACUGGGUUUGUUGUUGUUGUUGUUGUUCCAUCAGAUUUGGUGCUCAAUUAAGUCUCUGGCUUGUAACAUUUUCUUCCACGCUUGAGACCCUUCACAUCCUGGUUUCCGCAUCAACAAAUUGCAGUUAAUCUUCCUUUAAUAUUUAUUCUUCUUGUACUCACUCCAAAUUGAUUGCUUAGUUCUGAAUUUACACCAUAACUUACAGAACAAUGCCAUUGAAACAUUCUAUAAUAAUCUAAAGCUCAGACCUCCCUCUUUUUUGGGUUGAUACAAGUUUUUCCACUUUGUUUACAACCCGAUUGAUUCUAUAUUUUACAAGUCAAGUGAAUGUUAUAUGGGUUUAGUGCCAUUACUUUUGUAUGGGUUUUGCUAGGAAGAUCCAAAGUGCUCCAUUUUUGUAUAGUUAAGAGAUUAAAUAUGCUUAGUAUUAUAUUUAAAGGAUCAAAAUAUCCAACUCCAAUAAAUAAGAGACUACUUUAGCCCAUAAACUCUAUAUUUUUAUUAUGAUUAUUUAUUUACUUGGUAUCAAUAGACUAUUUUUGAUCAUACUUCAGAAACGAAAAAAGAGAAACAACAUAAAUAGUUCCUUAUUUAUAGGAGUAGGUAUAAAAGAGUCCCUUAAAUAUACAUUUAUGAUUUAAUCUUUAUACUAUCCAAAAACUUAUCAAGUUUGAUCUUUGUCUGCUCUUAUACAAACAACUGCGGUUUAUACUAAUGAAAAUUCAUAUCUCCAUCAGAUUUUGUCUCUCCCGCUAUUUUUCAUGAUUUUGUUAUUUUUCGUUAUUAACUCCUCUUGCUGCUUCUCCUUCAUUGUCACUACAAUAAGAAAAAUCCUAGAUUAAUUUUAUCAUUUGACUACAUUGUUGAAAGUUUAGAAUCAUGAUUUUACGAGCAAAAGGUGAUACAAUUCCUUUUUAUGGUAAAUUUUUUAGGAUUCAAGUCUUUAUUUUUGUAAGGCUUUAUAGUUAAACAACUGAUAAUUAAUUCUUCCUAUUUUUUAUUUUACAGAUUUUGCAUACGAUGUCUUAAAAAUCAACAUCAAAAUAGCCCACCGUGUUAUUAUGAAGCAUCAGUCUAGAAGAUAUUAUUUUGGGAGUCUUUCGGUUCAUUGAUCAUGUUGAUGUUUCAGAAAUAAAUUUAUCAUAAUUUAAGAUUAUGGCUGAGAUAUUUCGCUAUGGUAGUUCAGUCACAUUUCAAAGCAAGUACAAUAGACUCGGUGAAAAAAUGAGGCUUGUUUCAACUGAUCUAGAAGCUAAUUUAGUAUUCAAAAACAUCCCUAGAGAUAAGAGUAAUUGAGGUUUGCUUUGAGUAAGUAGACUCUUAUUGGAAUGAAUGUUGGAAAAAACUUGAGGAAAUUUAUUUUGAAUUGCAGAGGUUGUAGAAUUUUUGACAAAAGGAAUUUGAAGAAAAGGUGGUGAGAAGAAAGAAAAAAUUGAGGAAAUGGAUUAACGUUUUAAUA